CUGUUUCAAGGGAAGAACAAGUAGAGUAGUAACUGGCGCUGCCUUGACGGUACCUUGUUAGAAAGCCACGGCUAAGUACGUGCCAGCAGCCGCGGUAAUACGUAGGUGGCAAGCGUUGUCCGGAAUUAUUGGGCGUAAAGCGCGCGCAGGUGGUUCCUUCAGUCUGAUGUGAAAGCCCCCGGCUCAACCGGGGAGGGUCAUUGGAAACUGGGGAACUUGAGUGCAGAAGAGGAUAGUGGAAUUCCAAGUGUAGCGGUGAAAUGCGUAGAGAUUUGGAGGAACACCAGUGGCGAAGGGGACUGUCUGGUCUGUAACUGACACUGAGGCGCGAAAGCGUGGGGAGCAAACACGAUUAGAUACCCUGGUAGUCCACGCCGUGAAACGAUGAGUGCUAAGUGUUGGGGGGUUUCCGCCCCUCAGUGUUGCAGCUAACGCAUUAAGCACUCCGCCUGGGGAGUACGGUCGCAAGACUGAAACUCAAAGGAAUUGACGGGGGCCCGCACAAGCAGUGGAGCAUGUGGUUUAAUUCGAAGCAACGCGAAGAACCUUACCAGGUCUUGACAUCCCGGUGACCACUAUGGAGACAUAGUUUCCCCUUCGGGGGCAACGGUGACAGGUGGUGCAUGGUUGUCGUCAGCUCGUGUCGUGAGAUGUUGGGUUAAGUCCCGCAACGAGCGCAACCCUUAUUCUUAGUUGCCAUCAUUCAGUUGGGCACUCUAAGGAGACUGCCGGUGAUAAACCGGAGGAAGGUGGGGAUGACGUCAAAUCAUCAUGCCCCUUAUGACCUGGGCUACACACGUGCUACAAUGGACGGUACAAACGGUUGCCAACCCGCGAGGGGGAGCUAAUCCGAUAAAACCGUUCUCAGUUCGGAUUGUAGGCUGCAACUCGCCUACAUGAAGCCGGAAUCGCUAGUAAUCGCGGAUCAGCAUGCCGCGGUGAAUACGUAACCGGGCCUUGCACACACCGCCGGUCA
rnacentral:rRNA from 1 species